CUAGUUGGACAAUGCAAUCUACUAGUUGGACAAUUAAAAUUAUGUCCUAAAUCAUCAAUUCAUUCAUUCCUUUAGACUGCAGAUAUAAAUAAAACUUAAAUUUGAUGGUAUUUUACUUCUAACACGUUUCCUUAAAAUUCAAAGGUUGGACAAUUAAAUCCACUAGUUGGACAAUUAAAUUCACUAGUUGGACAAUUAAAAUUAUGUCCUGAAUCAUCAAUUCAUUCAUUCCUUUAGACUGCAGAGAUGAAUAAAAUUUAAAUUUGAUAGUAUUUUACUUGUAACAAGUUUCCUAAAAAAUCAAAGGUUGGACAAUUAAAUCCACUAGUUGGACAAUUAAAUUCACUAGUUGGACAAUUAAAAUUAUGUCCUAAAUCAUCAAUUCAUUCAUUCCUUUAGACUGCAGAGAUGAAUAAAAUUUAAAUUUGAUAGUAUUUUACUUGUAACAAGUUUCCUAAAAAAUCAAAGG